AUUGAACGCUGGCGGCAGGCCUAACACAUGCAAGUCGAGCGGAUGAAGGGAGCUUGCUCCUGGAUUCAGCGGCGGACGGGUGAGUAAUGCCUAGGAAUCUGCCUGGUAGUGGGGGAUAACGUCCGGAAACGGGCGCUAAUACCGCAUACGUCCUGAGGGAGAAAGUGGGGGAUCUUCGGACCUCACGCUAUCAGAUGAGCCUAGGUCGGAUUAGCUAGUUGGUGGGGUAAAGGCCUACCAAGGCGACGAUCCGUAACUGGUCUGAGAGGAUGAUCAGUCACACUGGAACUGAGACACGGUCCAGACUCCUACGGGAGGCAGCAGUGGGGAAUAUUGGACAAGGGGCGAAAGCCUGAUCCAGCCAUGCCGCGGGUGUGAAGAAGGUCUUCGGAUUGUAAAGCACUUUAAGUUGGGAGGAAGGGCAGUAAGUUAAUACCUUGCUGUUUUGACGUUACCAACAGAAUAAGCACCGGCUAACUUCGU
rnacentral:rRNA from 1 species